rnacentral:lncRNA from 1 species
CUUAACUGUGCCAAAUACAUGUAAUUCUUACUUAAUAUACUUAUACUCUUUGACCAAACAGACGACAGCCAAAGUCAUCGACUUUCCUUUGACCGCGAGCUUGCUCAGAAUGUCGGCGGUGCAGCAUUCCGCACUUCUAAUUAGACGGGCCAAUGUCACGUUGAAGCCUGUCGGUUACCUCCAGCACUUUGCAGCCCAGCGGACCCUGAUAAUGAACUCGGUCCUCACCUCCAAUGGCGACGAAGUAUCAAAAGCCCUUGCGGGUGCCCUGACAGAGGAUUGUCUUCUGCAACAUGUCAUAUUCUAUGACACAUUCGGUGUGAAGGAGCUUCCCACGGGAACAGGUGUGUUCGUUGACCUGCCGUCAACAAUGGCAUUUAAAUGUGAUUCCCAGCCAGCAGCCGACUUCAAUCUGCUUAGCCCUUUCUAACUGAAAUGCACUGAAUUUUCUUUUCUUUUUUGCCAAGAUGGCUGGUUUAAAGCUGCUGUUGUGGCCCUUAAAAGCAUAAGCAUGACAACCUGGGAAUUGCCUUGUUCCUUCUUCCCUUGGAACCCCACAGCUUCCCAGGAGAGAGAAGUGCAAACUUAAAAUCAAGCAAGAAGAGCAAGGAUGACAUACUCGCCAAGGGAUGCAAGCAGCGGGGUGCCUGGGACCGGGAUUUUGUUGCAGAGGUUGAUAAAGUCAUGGAUGAAGUUGUCCAACACAACUUCAAUGAGAGGUUCUGCCGGGUAAGGCCCCUAACAGCAGCACAACGUGUCACUUCACACUCAUGAAGCACUGACUUGCUUGCAGGCCACAAUCAAGGCAUCGAACCUGCCUCUGUCCAUCAAGGCACCACUGUACAUCGGCUUCUGUACAGAGUAAGUGGAAGGAUGCCAUCGAGUUUGUGUACUGCCACACAAACUGUAAGUGUGGCAUUUAUUGCAGCUGCAGUUGCAUGCUUGGNNNNNNNNNNNNNNNNNNNNNNNNNNNNNNNNNNNNNNNNNNNNNNNNNNUCCCGCCGCCGCCACGCCUGCCGUUUAGGCUACUGCACCUCCCAGCCCCAACGCCGUCGCUGCCGCUGCUGCUGCAUUGCUAUUUCCCGCCGUCGCCACGCCUGCCAUUUAGGCUACUGCACCUCCCAGCCCCACUGCCGUCGCUGCCGCUGCUGCUGCGUUGCUAUUUCCCGCCGCCGCCGCGCCUGCCGUUUAGGCUACUGCACCUCCCAGCCCCACCGCCAUCGCUGCCGCUGCUGCUGCGUUGCUAUUUCCCCCCGCCGCCACGCCUGUACUUCUGACACAUUACAGCCACACAGCGCAACCUCUCCACCAACAACAGGAUGCCAGAAUGCAGGGGCAGAGGAACAUACGCCUGUAUGGAGGCGCUGGCUCGCCACCUGCACCACGCACACCUGAUCAACCCAGCACUACCAGAUGGGGUGCACAGCCUGUACAAGGCUGCUGGCCCAUCAAGGUGCAUGCCAGGCACAUCCCAUGCGCACACCCUCCCUGCCCAGCCUACUUCUGACAUCGUUUGAACGUCAUCAUGGCCGCAGUCGGGGGAUGGCAAAACUAGGGGGGAAAGGGGUAAAACGUGGAGGAGCGGAAUGGUUAGGAGGGCGAUUUAAGGGCAUGACGGGGGGCCCCCGCAACCUAGGCAAUGCAUUCACUUGAACGUCACCAUGGCCGCAGUCCGGGGAUGGCAAAACAGCAUCCCAGGCUCCCAUCACCAUCCCCGCCAUCACCAAUGCCACCGACACCAAAACUGAACGCUACCAAAACCACCACAGCACUUCCACCAUCAUCCAUGCCACAGCAUGAUGUAGAGUGAUGGCGGAAAUCAUUGAUUUGACACUGAAAUGCUGUGUCGAUCGGAAAGCAGCUCCAAUACGGACUGAUAUAAGAUUGAGCCAUUAUUCAGUACCAUAUGUGAAGGAACAGGCGCCUGUGGGAGGGAUCAAUGGUUCUGCAAAGCCCGACAUCAAAUGUCCGAGAGGCAACGGACACCACACGUAUGAACACAAAUCCAUUAUACUCAUGGAAUUGCAUAGAUUUUAAGAUCGAAUAAUGACAGUAAAAGAUGCCCUUGCGCUUGCAUGUGUGAAUCCUGGAUCCAUCAGUGCAAGUUGUACCUGUCAUGGAGCUGCAAAUCGGAAAGGCAUUACAGUGUCUGGCACUUAACUGUGCCAAAUACAUGUAAUUCUUACUUAAUAUACUUAUACUCUUUGACCAAACAGACGACAGCCAAAGUCAUCGACUUUCCUUUGACCGCGAGCUUGCUCAGAAUGUCGGCGGUGCAGCAUUCCGCACGUCUAAUUAGACGGGCCAAUGUCACGUUGAAGCCUGUCGGUUACCUCCAGCACUUUGCAGCCCAGCGGACCCUGAUAAUGAACUCGGUCCUCACCUCCAAUGGCGACGAAGUAUCAAAAGCCCUUGCGGGUGCCCU